GACGAACGCUGGCGGCGUGCUUAACACAUGCAAGUCGAACGGAAAGGCCCUGGUUUUGUGGGGUGCUCGAGUGGCGAACGGGUGAGUAACACGUGAGUAACCUGCCCUUGACUUUGGGAUAACUUCAGGAAACUGGGGCUAAUACCGGAUAGGAGCUCCUGCUGCAUGGUGGGGGUUGGAAAGUUGCGGCGGUUGGGGUUGGACGCGCGGCUUAUCAGCUUGUUGGGGGGGUAGUGGCUUACCAAGGCUUUGACGGGUAGCCGGCCUGAGAGGGUGAACGGCGACAUUGGGACUGAGAUAGGGCCCAGACGGCUACGGGAGGCAGCAGGGGGGAGUAUUGCACAAUGGGGGGAAGCCUGAUGCAGCAACGUCGGGUGCGUGAUGACGGCCUUCGGGUUGUAAAACGCUUGCGCCUGUGACGAAGCGUGAGUGACGGUAAUGGGUAAAGAAGCACCGGCUAACUACGUG
rnacentral:rRNA from 1 species